GGGCCAUAACUCAAUAGCAGAGCAUCUGUUUUGCAUGCAGAAAGUCCCAGGUUCAAUCCCUGGCAUCUUCA